CAUUACCAUCCUGACAUAGUUAUUCUUAAGACUUUAAAGUACAAACUUAGAAGGAAAAUGUUGAUUAACGUUUUCAUGCCGUUCAGGUAUACUGAAAGUAUUAAAAUGAAAUGUCAAAUUGGAAGAAUAUUGAAAUAACUUCAACAGAGUGCUUAAAAAUCAGAAAAAAUAUUUUUUAAAUGGGCAAAGGAACUUAAUACCUUUCUGGUAGGUAUAUUAAAUUGACAGAAUCAUUUUGAAAGUAGUUUUGGCAAUGCCUAGUAAACUUUGGAGUGUUCAUACCUUCUGAUCCAGAAAUUCCAUUUCAAGAAAAGAACCUAGAGAAAUUUGCACAUGUACACAAGGAGAUAUGCACGAAACUGAUCUUUACAACAUUCUUUGUGAAAGUAUAAACAGCCCACAUGGAGUGUGCAUCAACAGAUUUAUUUUUAUACUGGACUUCAGUAAGUUAAUGUGGAUCAUCCAGAUCCACAUGUAUCAACAUGGAUCUUGAUCCUAGAUGUUUCUUAUUGCUAGCUGACCAUAACCUCAACAGUAGAACAGAUAUCUAAGAAACAAAUCUUAGAGUUCCCACCACUCACUGAUGCUGCUCUUUUAUUCAGCUCUCAGGACACAGUUUUGAAAUUCACCAUCUCUGAGACCGGCCAGGGUCCAGGAGGAAGGAAGAGAGACAACUUGUUAGGGCCAGGUGAUGUAGAAGUCCAGGCUGCCCUCGUUAAUUGCUACAGUUUUAAAGUACAUAUGGAAAGAAUCCUGGCAUCCUCUUGGGAGGUUGUUUGGCCAUCCAGACAGAUCCCUCUCAGCCAGAUAUUUAAUGAAGAUACAAAUUACUGGGUCAGUGAAUGGAAUAAAAAGAAGUAUAAAACAAGUUACUGCUGUGAAGCAAUUAACACGCUAAGGGAACUACAGAGUGAUAUAGAGGUGGAAAUUAAGUUACCAGUUCAAGUGCAAUAGGCAGUGGAACAGCAAGUGGGAAGAGGAAAGAACAUGAAAAAAUCGGAUCUCCCAGAAGAGCUUCAUAAAAGAGGCACGCAUACAUUUACAGAAGCUUUUACCAUAUGUGUUAUAAGCACCCAAGAUUCAGAACAGAAGGAACAUAACUCCCAAUGAACAUUCGCUAUGGUGGAAGAACAGGGAAUACAACUUCAACAGCAGGUAUGUGGUUGUUCAUAUCCACAUGUGUGGUUAAUUCAGCAGUGGAAAUGACAUCAAGGACUCAGGCUUAUCUCCUGCCACUUUCUUUUAUGCAGUGUUCCUGAAGUGUGUUCACAAGCAGCUAAAGAAGCUCCCAUAGAGAGAAACUGAUCUUUCAAAGACAAGAGGAUAAACAGAAGAAAGAAACCUGGAAUCUCAGGCACAAGAAGAGCCAGAGAUGUAAACAGAAUGUGAAGAGAAC